AACUGAGAGAGGUGGAGUUAUCAACUUGCUUUCAUUACACAACAUUCCUGAUAAUCUUAGCAAAAUUGGUGUGGAGUACGUUGAGGGAUUUAGCAUUUUGAUAUCUGGCUUAUUUGGUAAUACAACUACAAGACGAGGAAAGUCAAGCUUACAUCAGUGAAACUUGAUGUUCAAAGCAAUGUGCAACUCACACCAACAUCUGUACUCAAGGAAAACAAAAGGGCAUAUUCAGGGACUGCUACAAAGUAACAAAGGAAGAAGAUACAAAAA